GCUGGCGGUGCGCCUUAUGCAUGCAAGUCGAGCGAAGCUUUUCAGUAGUUUACUACAGAAAAUGACUGAGCGGCGAACGGGUGAGUAACGCGUGAGCAAUCUACCUUAGUUACAGGGAUAGCCCGGGGAAACUCGGAUUAAUACCUGAUAUUCUUUAUAUUUCGCAUGAAAUUAAAAGGAAAGGUCAGCCGAACUAAGAUGAGCUCGCGUUCUAUCAGCUAGUUGGUGAGGUAAAAGCUUACCAAGGCUACGACGGAUAGCUGGUCUGAGAGGACGAUCAGCCACACUGGGACUGAGACACGGCCCAGACUCCUACGGGAGGCUGCAGCAGGGAAUAUUGUGCAAUGAACGAAAGUUUGACACAGCGACACCGCGUGUGGGAUGACGGAUCUAGGUUUGUAAACCACUUUCAGGAGGGAAGAAAAUGACGGUACCUCCACAAGAAGCCCCGGCCAACUACGUGCCAGCAGCCGCGGUAAUACGUAGGGGGCGAGCGUUGUCCGGAUUUAUUGGGCGUAAAGAGCUCGUAGGCGGUUCAACAAGUCGGUCGUGAAAGUUCAGGGCUCAACCCUGAAAUGUCGAUCGAUACUGUUGUGACUAGGAUACGGUAGAGGUGAGUGGAAU
rnacentral:rRNA from 1 species